UACGAAGGGGGCUAGCGUUGUUCGGAAUUACUGGGCGUAAAGCGCGCGCAGGCGGCUAUCCAAGUCAGUGGUGAAAGCCCGGAGCUCAACUCCGGAACUGCCAUUGAAACUGUUUAGCUUGAGGAUGAGAGAGGUGAGUGGAAUUCCCAGUGUAGAGGUGAAAUUCGUAGAUAUUGGGAAGAACACCAGUGGCGAAGGCGGCUCACUGGCCCGGUACUGACGCUGAGGCGCGAAAGCGUGGGGAGCAAACAGG
rnacentral:rRNA from 1 species